AGAAGGGGUGUUGAGAAAAAGAAAUACAAAAGAAAAGAAACGCAGAAGAAAAGUAAUAGAAAAUGAGAUAAAGGGGCCCGGCCGGCCGCAACCUCCCACUCUAAGCACCAAGGAGCAAAUGGCUCUGCCCGGCCCUCCCCGCGGCUUAAAUCCCCCCGGCCCCGCCCCGCGCAGGCGCGCUGGGGCCCCGCGCACCUGUGCGCGCACCUGUGCUGGCCCCGCCCGUAAAUGGCGGCGGAUCCGCGCCCGCCUCACGUUCUGCGGGGGAUGCUCGGCCCGGGCUGCGGCGGGACCGGCGCUCGGAGAUCGGUUCGGGGCUGCUCCCGGCACUGCGCGGUGUCCGACGCGCUCAGGCACGCAGGGAUGCUUCAGCCCGGACAGACGCCACCGACAGCCCAAAGGGACCCUAGGGAACGGCUGGCAUCACCUGGGAAUGGAGGCACGGCCGUUUGCAGAGGGGCUCUGACAGCAAUCCCCGUUUCUGACCUCCCCGAGCUCCCACACAACUGCCAGGUACUAAAUGCCAAGCAAUAAGCCUUAGAAAUGCCUUAAAAUCAGAGGUUCGAGUGCGAUUACAUUUGGAGAUUUCCAGGGAGCCGGCUGGAGGUGCAGAUGUGAUGGAAAACUCUGAGAGGAAGGAAUUCAGCAGGGAACCUGAGGCUGUGGGCAUAAUUCAUCUGAACUAGCAAAGCUGAUACUGAACCCCAAAUCCAGGCACCACACAGAGAACAAUCUUUGUGCUAAAUUCCCUGGGUGGGGAAGUUUCAGCAGCCAAAUGUAUGGAAUGAUCAAAAUCCCAGCAGCCGGCAUCCCCCAGAGGGACAAUCCAAGUGCCAAGGUGGGAGCUCGGCUCGUGUCCUUCCCCUGCUGCUGGUGGGACAAAUUCCCCUAGGCACAGCUGGCUGGGUGGGAGCUGAGAUCAGGACGGAUAGGAGCACAGAUGGGAGCUGAGGCCACUAGCAUGUCACCUGGAGCAGCUGAACACGUUCUGUCCCUGCAGGAGCCAAAGCAGAUCCCUCCUGGCUGAGCUAGAAGGCAGCUGCUGGAUCUGCUCUGGGGGAAAACUCCCUGCCCCUGCCAGGAGCGCUGACUCUGCUUUUCCUCCAGCUCCUGAGCAGCGUCAGGGCCACUGGGAGGGAGUUCAAUCCCAAAAAAAUCCCCACAGCCCCCGGAGUGAAUGAUGCCAGCAGAGAAACGCAGCAUUGAAAUAAAAAACAUAGAGCUCUGUCAAAAAGGCUACAACAACAAUGUAAUGGGAUUCCCAGGAACCUUCUGGUUUGCUCUCAGAAUGCUCUUGGUUCUCCUUCAUGUAUUUUUAGUCCCUCAAUGGGCAGCUCGUAGAAUUUAUUCUGGGACUUAGAGGUUGAGCAGGGUGGGCUCUGGAUUGACCUUCGCCUCUGGUGCCACUUUGUGCAAACACAACUUGGCCAGGCUGGGUGAACUCAUGACCUCAGCUUUCCCCUCCAAAAUGUCCCUCACUUAUUUCCCUGCGGGUGAGCUGGGAUUUGG